GUUCUAUUACGUGGAGUUAGUUGGUGAACUCCAGUUAACCUCUGGAGUAGAUAUUGGCGAAGUGUUAUUUUCACAGGAUAUCGUCAAAGUCAAGAGAUUCCUUGUGGAUGAGAACCUUUUCUGCCAGAAGUUUCGUGGAUGUGUGACGUCUGAUCAGUUUCGUGACAAGUAAUAUGAUCUGGACGCGUUUGGACCAUUCAGCAAGAUACACCCACGAAAACGAAAAACACUGGAGCUCACGAUCGUCGUGAAGGUAAUGUUGGAGCGGCAACAUCUCUGGUUGCUUCAGCGUCCACCGCUACCACCUCCAAGUCAACACCGAAGGCUCCCAAGUCCACCUCGGUCCGAUCCAAGUCAACACCGACGGCUUCCAAAUCCAUCAACAGUGACGUCGACAGCGAGGACGGAUUUGAGCGUCAAAAGAGAACAACGCCCAUUCCAGACAAGGAGCUGGUGAUUCGACUCUUCAUGGCGAGGAGACAUGUGACUGCGGAGGCGCUUGCAACUGUCACACUUCCACGUCAAACAAAGAGGGGAACUGUGAUCUUCCAGUGGGUUGCAUCAAAGAUGCCAUUUGAUCAAAACGUGCGGUCGCUGACGAUGUGCCGUCUUGAGCGCCGUUUAAAAGGAAUUGGAACCUUUUGCAUAGACCGACACCCCGUGCAGCAAGAUUCAUCCCCACUACGAUCGAUGCCCCGUUCUCGCGCACUGUCUAAACCGUCCACAUUGCAACCUUUAUAUUACGACAAGUACAUGUGAUUGCGGUUUGACUACAUUUGUCCACGAACAAUACAUUCAAUGGCUUAUUCAUAUUGCGCUAGGGUACUGCCAUAUGAUAUUUGUAAUUUGUAAUACAAUGUGUAUUCCCAGAUGUCGUGAAGUUGUGAUGCCACAUAUGUUACCAGUAGUCUCUGAUUGUUCUUUCUCUCGUGUUCAUGUUUAACCACUGAGUUUAUACCGCAAACAUUUGCGCAUCGAAUUGUAUCGAGCACAAGCUGAACUUGAAUCGUUUGAUAAGGGCCAUGUAGAUUUAGAACUUGUAAUUAGAGCUAUCAGUAACAAACGAAUAGCUUGAAAUACUUUGCUGACAAAUGCUCAACAAGGGAGUUGCUGAAAAUACAACCGAUGAUUAGCCAUGACAAGUAUAAUCAAGCUAAAUAUGAACUGUAAAGGGUCCAUCCUUCUAGCUCUAUACAUUGCACCAUUUGUAUUGUAACCAGUAGUUUUACGUCUUCAGUUGUAUAGUUUCCCCUUUUCCUUGCCAAUCAAUACACCUAAUUGCAAUGGACUAAGAGUGCGUAAUUUGCGUAUGUAUGUGUGUGUGAGUGUGAUUGCAUGCUCAAUAUAUUUGCAUCCUUAUAUUU